rnacentral:rRNA from 1 species
UACAGAGGGGGCAAGCGUUGUUCGGAAUUACUGGGCGUAAAGGGCGCGUAGGCGGCCCGCUAAGUCGAACGUGAAAUCCCCGGGCUUAACCCGGGAACUGCGUCCGAUACUGGCAGGCUUGAAUCCGGGAGAGGGAUGUGGAAUUCCAGGUGUAGCGGUGAAAUGCGUAGAUAUCGGGAGGAACACCGGUGGCGAAGGCGGCGAUCUGGGAAGAUACUGACGCUGAGGUGCGAAAGCGUGGGGAGCAAACAGG